GAUGGGAGAAUAACAAAUCAAAAUUUUCCUCUUGAUUUUCAGUUUUUUUCUCAUGAAAAAAUUCAAAUCUAACUAAAAAUGCUAAAAAUCAGUAAAAAAAUCUGAUUUGUUAUUCUCCCAUU
rfam:Gossypium raimondii Chr08_contig_411, whole genome shotgun sequence.